UACGUAGGGCGUAAGCGUUGUCCGGAAUUAUUGGGCGUAAAGCGCACGUAGGCGGCUUUUCAAGUCGGAUGUGAAAUCCCUCGGCUUAACCAAGGAAGUGCAUCCGAAACUGGAAGGCUUGAGUACUUAAGAGGAUCGCGGAAUUCCCGGUGUAGAGGUGAAAUUCGUAGAUAUCGGGAGGAACACCAGUGGCGAAGGCGGCGAUCUGGGAAGAUACUGACGCUGAGGUGCGAAAGCGUGGGGAGCAAACAGG
rnacentral:rRNA from 1 species